CGCACAUGUGGGCAAUAUAUAGGGAAUACCGGAAAGGUGGGGGGAUAGGCUAUACUUCUUACACAGUGUAUGGGUGUUUUCUCCCUAUUAUCCUCUUUGCUUUAUUAACGCGGUCUUUAUGUAAUGUCUGUUAUCAGUUUUCUGUUUUAUAUAUUGUAAAAAACCCAGGCGGGAUAUCCAAGCUUACUUUGGACUGCGGUCCACUAAGGAGAUCGGAAACAUGCUGAUACUUAGUGAUCUCUAAUGGCGGGAUUUGGGUGACCUUGAUUGUUAAUUCAUUUUGCGGGUGUAAAGUGCUAUAAUCUCGGUGUAUGUGCUUAAUUAUGCUGAUCAACGAGUUGAUGUAUGUGAAUUGCAUGUGAU